UAUUUCCUCUCCAUCACUGUCAACUGCAGGGUUUUGGAGAUUCUGACAAGUUUUGCACAUUUUUUUUUGAAAGUUAUUCUUCCACAGUUCCAUCACUCCUUCUAGAAGUAUUUUUGCGCAUAGUUCAGUCUGUGAUGGAUUGACGCCGUCUUGUCAUUCUCUGAUGCAGUUUAGGGAGUGGUUUGAUUGAUCAAAAAGACCUGCUAAUGAGAAUGCAGCAGGAUUGUGGUCAUGUAGGAAUGAUAUAGAGGGAAACUGCUCUCCAAUUUUCAACAUCACAGAUGGAGGGGCAUAAAGCUUAACAACUUCAAUUUGAAAUGAGAAGGUGAGAGACGAGCGGAGAGGAAGUGGAGAGGAGGAAAGAGGACGAAGAUGAAGACAGACGGCAUCCUAGUCACUGAACUGCAUGUUGCAUGCGUCUGACUGGAAUUAACGUAGCGUAGCAAUAGUUAUGGCUUUGGUUAUGGAUUACGGCUAAUCCUUUAGCAUAGGGAGCAGGUCUUAAAGGUAAUUACACGCUACUAUUGGA